rnacentral:rRNA from 1 species
GUUGAACCGCAUGGUUCUACAGUGAAAGACGGUCUUGCUGUCACUUAUAGAUGGACCCGCGCCGUAUUAGCUAGUUGGUGGGGUAACGGCCUACCAAGGCGACGAUACGUAGCCGACCUGAGAGGGUGAUCGGCCACACUGGAACUGAGACACGGUCCAGACUCCUACGGGAGGCAGCAGUAGGGAAUCUUCCGCAAUGGGCGAAAGCCUGACGGAGCAACGCCGCGUGAGUGAUGAAGGUCUUCGGAUCGUAAAGCUCUGUUGUUAGGGAAGAACAAAUGUGUAAGUAACUGUGCACAUCUUGACGGUACCUAACCAGAAAGCCACGGCUAACUACGUGCCAGCAGCCGCGGUAAUACGUAGGUGGCAAGCGUUAUCCGGAAUUAUUGGGCGUAAAGCGCGCGUAAGCGGUUUUUUAAGUCUGAUGUGAAAGCCCACGGCUCAACCGUGGAGGGUCAUUGGAAACUGGAAAACUUGAGUGCACAAAAGGAAAGUGGAAUUCCAUGUGUAGCGGUGAAAUGCGCACAGAUAUGGAGGAACACCACUGGCGAAAGCGGCUUUCUGGUCUGCGACUGACACUCAUAUGCGAGAACGUGUGGAUCACACACGAGUAGAUACCCUGGUAGUCCACGCCCUAAACAAUGAGUGCUGAAUGUUAUAGGGGUUCUCCCCCCCUAAUGCUGCCGCUCACGCAGUAAUCACUCUCUCCCGGGGAGGACAGUCGGCAAGACAGAAGAGACAUAGAAAUUG